NGAGAUGUAGCUCAGUGGGUAGAGUGUUUGCCUACCAUGUACAAGGCUCUGGGUUCAAAUCCUAGCACCACAU
rnacentral:tRNA from 1 species